GGAUUAGAUACCCUGGUAGUCCACGCUGUAAACGAUGAUUACUAGGUGUGGGGGGUCUGACCCCUUCCGUGCCGGAGUUAACACAAUAAGUAAUCCACCUGGGGAGUACGGCCGCAAGGUUGAAACUCAAAGGAAUUGACGGGGGCCCGCACAAGCAGUGGAGUAUGUGGUUUAAUUCGAAGCAACGCGAAGAACCUUACCAGGUCUUGACAUCCAACUAACGAAGUAGAGAUACAUUAGGUGCCCUUCGGGGAAAGUUGAGACAGGUGGUGCAUGGUUGUCGUCAGCUCGUGCC
rnacentral:rRNA from 1 species